rnacentral:rRNA from 1 species
UACGUAGGGUGCAAGCGUUGUCCCGGAAUUAUUGGGCGUAAAGAGCUUGUAGGCGGUUUGUCGCGUCUGCUGUGAAAUUUCGGGGCUCAACCCCGAACUUGCAGUGGGUACGGGCAGACUAGAGUGUGGUAGGGGAGACUGGAAUUCCUGGUGUAGCGGUGAAAUGCGCAGAUAUCAGGAGGAACACCGAUGGCGAAGGCAGGUCUCUGGGCCAUAACUGACGCUGAGAAGCGAAAGCAUGGGGAGCGAACAGG